rnacentral:misc_RNA from 1 species
GCUCUGAUCUUCAAAGAAGACGGCGGCGAGGCUGCUCGAUCGUAUUCUUCGAUGAGAUUCGCUAGGUCCUCAUCGGAGGUUAUCGAUACCAAAGCAUCCAGAUCCUCGGAAGGCACUUGACAACGAAGAUUCACACAUGUUCCACACAACUGUCCCAGCUUCAACAACAGUUCAGAGAAAGGAAUGGAACGAUCGACGGCGAGGACACGAGUUUCACCACCAAUAUAACGGAGUUUGCCAUCAGGAUAACGAGGAAGGAUCUUGCCUCCAUAACUGCAGAGAAACUUGAUGGUCGCAGUUCUAUCAGAUUUGGCGGCGGUACCGCCUGAACUGUG